UUUCAUUUGGACUGGGAGAAUGAACGUGAGAUAGUUGAUACAAAAGUUUCAACACUCACAAUCCACUUCAAUAACUUUCUGGUGAUACCUCUCAGUUUUGACAAUCAAUUUCUGGAUUGGGAAAGGAUUUCCGAAAGAUUCUUCGUCACUCCAGCAACUUUUUCACGAGCCGUUUCAGGGGACUAAAAUUGAUAGAUCCAAUAAAAUAGUUUUCGCAAUGGCGAAGAAAGAAUUGAAAUCAAUGAUUUUAUCGGAGAGUGUUAUCAGCACAGAAGUAACUGGGCUAAAAGGACAAAAGGGAUAAAAUUACACGGAGAGAAAUAUUCAGCAAAAAUUACGGAACUCGCGGUACGUUCGACGAUAUCGUAAUAGACUGGGAAAUUUGAUGAGACAGUAGCGUAAUUUUUCACAAAAAAUUCAAAUAAAAAUUACGCAACGUGCAGGAAAAAUUCCUUGCUAGUUUCCUCGGUCACUUUACUCCUGAGUUACGGAAAAGAUACGUAAUGAUUACCGAAUAUAUAUCUCUGUGUAUUUAAUCCCUGAACGAUUCGGAACGGUGGUAGAAUUUCAAUUUUCCGGAAGUUGAUUUCUCACUGCAGUGAUAUGGCAGUUGUCAAGUGGCGAAUACAUGACAAUGUUAAUCAUCAAGACAGGGCAUCGACACUCUCCCUAAAGAUCCCCGAAGGACAUUUGCGGAAGGAAACAGGAUUUGUUUUUAUAUUCCAGCCCUUUCCGCCCUCUUCGAGCUAAUUG